UAAAACGUAGGAGCCAAGCGUUAUCCGAAUUCACUGGGCGUAAAGCGCGUGCAGGCGGCCUGGUAAGUUGGAUGUGAAAUCUCCUGGCUCAACUGGGAGAGGCCGUUCAAUACUGCUGGGCUAGAGGGCGACAGAGGGAGGUGGAAUUCCGGGUGUAGUGGUGAAAUGCGUAGAUAUCCGGAGGAACACCAGAGGCGAAGGCGACCUCCUGGGUCGUACCUGACGCUCAGACGCGAAAGCUAGGGGAGCGAACGGGAUUAGAAACCCCGGUAGUCCUAGCCGUAAACGAUGUAGACUGGGUGUCGGCGGGGUAAAAGCCGUCGGUGCCGAAGCCAACGCGAUAAGUCUACCGCCUGGGGACUACGGCCGCAAGGUUAAAACUUAAAGGAAUUGACGG
rnacentral:rRNA from 1 species